rnacentral:rRNA from 1 species
AUUGAACGCUGGCGGAAUGCUUUACACAUGCAAGUCGAACGGCAGCACGGACUUCGGUCUGGUGGCGAGUGGCGAACGGGUGAGUAAUGUAUCGGAACGUGCCCAGUCGUGGGGGAUAACGUAGUGAAAAUUACGCUAAUACCGCAUACGAUCUAUGGAUGAAAGCGGGGGAUCGCAAGACCUCGCGCGAUUGGAGCGGCCGAUAUCAGAUUAGGUAGUUGGUGGGGUAAAGGCCCACCAAGCCAACGAUCUGUAGCUGGUCUGAAAGGACGACCGGCCACACUGGAACUGAGACGCGGUCCAGACUCCUACGGGAGGCAGCAGUGGGGAAUUUUGGACAAUGGGCGAAAGCCUGAUCCAGCCAUUCCGCGUGCAGGAUGAAGGCCCUCGGGUUGUAAACUGCUUUUGUACAGAACGAAAAGGUUUCUACUAAUACUAGGAGCUCAUGACGGUACUGUAAGAAUAAGCACCGGCUAACUACGUGCCAGCCGCCGCCGUAA